GCGCCUGUAGCUCAGUGGAUAGAGCACUGGCCUCCGAAGCCAGGGGCCGCUGGUUCGAUUCCAGCCAGGCGCGCCA
rnacentral:tRNA from 1 species